CAGAUUGUAAGCCAGGGAGAAGGAAAAGCCAGGGUAUCUCUUCCCCCAAACCCCUCUCUGCUUUAGAAACUACCCCAGACAGCUGCCCCAUUUCCUUUGGGUUGCACAUUCUACUGGGCCACACUUCCUUCUGUGGUGCCCCCUCUUGGGUUCUGGUAGCCCUUCCCUUUGUCUCUAGCUAGGGCUGGCGGCAGCUGCUAUUGCUGCUGGUCUCCGGACAGCCUCACCGUGUCCUUUGCCCUUUCUUCUCUUCCAGCACCUUUGGACCUAGUUCUCUAUGUUAAAAUUCUUUUCUUAAACCUCUUAGUUGGGAUCUGCUUUCUUGAUUAGAGACGGAAGUUUCUUCUCAGAGAAGCCUUCCCUCACCGUCCUGGGAAAAGUAGCCCCAGGCUCUUUCCAUCGUCUUAUCCCACCGGUACCCUUCUCAGCACUAACCAGUACCUGAAAUGUGAAGUAUCUGGCAUCCAAGAGAUAUAAAGAAUACACCGCCAAGCUUAAGAAACAAAGCGUAUCAGCAUGGUCACAGCUCUUCUGGAUCCCUUCCUAAUCCUCCUCCUCACUUCUCCCAGGGUCAUCUUCAGCUACCUCCAUGGUCUCAGUGGGGUCCUCUCCAUGCUGAUGAGCGGGAAGGGGAGAGAGCGUGGAACACACCACAUGGAAACGUGUUGACGGGCCAGGUCUGGAGUAGUGCACACCACUCCCACCUCCAUCCCGUGAGGGUGACACAGUCACAGGCUGCUCCUACUGCGUGGCCAGCUGAGGAGGGGAAGGUCGUCCACAGGAAGCUGGGAAAUGGGCUAGGGUCACAGCUGUCAGUGUCUGCCACCAAACUCACAUGGAUAAUUUCUAAGAUUCUUUUCAGCUGCAAAGUUCUAGAAUGCUCAUCCAUUUUUGCUGCCACAGUCCUCACUAAGAACUUCUACGAAGUUGUGCCAUCCACCCCAGAUGGUGCCGUCCCUGGAGCAAGAGCUGUACUUUAUACAUCAGUGUUUCUGUCCCCAAAGCACCCAGCACAGUAUUUUGCACAUAUCAUGAAUAUACUAUUAACUGAGUGAAUGGCUUAAAUGCAUGCUUUAGAAAAGAUUCAGUAGCAGGCCGGGCGCGGAGGCUCAAGCCUGUAAUCCCAGCACUUUGGGAGGCCGAGGUGGGUGGAUCACGAGGUCAAGAGAUCAAGACCAUCCUGGUCAACAUGGUGAAACCCCGUCUCUACUAAAAAUACAAAAAAUUAGCUGGGCACAGUGAUGCGUGCCUGGAAUCCCAGCUACUCGGGAGGCUGAGGCAGGAGAAUUGCCUGAACCCGGGAGGCGGAGGUUGCGGUGAGCUGAGAUCGCGCCAUUGCACUCCAGCCUGGGUAACAAGAGCGAAAUUCCGUCUCAAAAAGAAAAGAAAAGAAAAGAAAAGAAAAGAAAAGAAAAGAAAAGAUUCAGUAGCUCAAGGAGGAAGAACAGGAGGCCUGGUGUCUGCAGACGGAGUUUCCAUCACAGCGCUAUCUCGUACUAAACGUGGAGCCCUCCCCAAGCCUUGGUUUCGGAAGAAUUUGGCAACAGCAGAACCGACCUCAUGAAGUUGUUGAAAGGAUUAAUGAGAUAAUGGUUGUGAAGUGCUGAGCACAACAUCUGGGUGGACGGCUGCACCUCCUUCCAUCUUGGCGUGGGCUUGGCCAUCUCGAGGCAGUCUCAGCAGAGGCCAUAUUCACAGCUGGCAGGACCGGGACAGAGCAGCUCCAUUUCGUAUUUGCAAAUGGCCUGGAAAUUUGGCACCGAGGAAAAUAACAUCUAGAAUGCUUGAUACUUCAUCCAGGGGCCCAGCAGACUCUUCUGAAGUCCUGGCAGGAUGAGGGACAACGUAACUGUCACUAGAAUUCCUUAAAUUAAUGCAGCGCUUUGUGCUACGCAUGGAUCUUUUACGUUUGUUUCCCAGUUCAGGGUUGAGCAAAUAUAGUAAAACUUUUCAACUGUGCAGGCCAUAGUCUGUCACGACAGCACAACUCUGCAGAUUUAGUGUGAAGGCAGACACAGACACUCUGUGGAUGAAUGGCUGAGGUCAUGUUGUGAU
rnacentral:lncRNA from 13 species